CUGAAUAUGUGGGGGAAAGGGAGCUUAUUGGAGAGAUCAGGCAGACAGAAGUUGAAUCGGCAGGCAAUACUUGUAGUUCAGAUCACAGGACCAGUGAGUUUGGUAGCCUGAAGGACAGGCCCUACGAACAGACAAAGGACAGGAGUGCAACUGGAAAACCCAAAGCAAGACAAGCUGAAGAUUGAGGAAGUGGAACUGCUUGACCCUGCUUGACCGAAGUGUUAAGCUGGGCAAUCCUUCAUUAGGAAAGCUCAGCUUUGAUUUGGAUUACCUUCAUACUUGUCCCACACUGCAACUGGAGGUGCAGGGAGUUUGAUAGCUGGAGGCAUCAGUUCUACGAAGACAAGAAGGACAGGAGGUGAACACACAAGGGGGAUCCGAAGGAAGCGGGAACGAGGAAGUACAGGACCAAAGAAAGAAGGUAGGAAAUAGAAGAGACUCAGGACAACAGAAAAUCGCUCGGUUGACUGAUCGACUGGCCAGAAAAAAGGAGAAUUUGUAAGCAUUUUAUGCCAAUACACAUCAGACAAUUAAUCAGACUACAUGGCUGAUAUAGCGAUGGCUGUGCAUGGCAGCUCCUGACUGAAGCUCAGCCCCCCCGGAGCACUCACUGCAGUCAGUGUUGCAGUGUGGAUUAUCAGCACUUACAGUACUGAACCUGCGUGACAAUUAACCAAAGUUCUGCAAAACUGCACUGAAGCCUCACUGAAGUUUAAAUUAAUCAGAGUCAUCAAAAUAAUUCUUUGCUGAAAGCCUUACACAGGGAUGUGUGAGCUUGCAUAACUUUUGGUCUAACACCGUUUAUUAUCUGACAAGCAGUAAUGAAUACUAGGAGCCUUAUCAUCCUGCAAGAGAAACUUUAAUCAGGCUCUGCUGCCUGUCGCCUGUUUAAAUAUGUCACAGUACAUCCUUCAAUGUACAUGCCAUACUAAUGGCAAAUACCAAGCGAGGAAGAAUUUCAGAUCUGUGAGUGAAAUGCGAAGUGCACACAAAGAUAAUUAAAGCAAUACAUUUGUCUGCUUGACCUCAUCAAUCGAUUUCUGUGUUAGUUUCUAAUCCUGUAAUAUGCGAACUAAU